GGACGAACGCUGGCGGCACGCUUAACACAUGCAAGUCGAACGGAGAUAUUUGGUUACUGAGAUAUCUUAGUGGCGGACGGGUGAGUAACACGUGAGCAACCUGCCUUUGAGAGAGGGAUAGCUUCUGGAAACGGAUGGUAAUACCUCAUGACAUACUUUUAUCGCAUGGUAGAAGUAUCAAAGAUUUAUCACUCAGAGAUGGGCUCGCGUCUGAUUAGCUAGUUGGUGAGGUAACGGCCCACCAAGGCGACGAUCAGUAGCCGGACUGAGAGGUUGAACGGCCACAUUGGGACUGAGACACGGCCCAGACUCCUACGGGAGGCAGCAGUGGGGAAUAUUGCACAAUGGGGGAAACCCUGAAUGCAGCGAUGCCGCGUGGAGGAAGAAGGUUUUCGGAUUGUAAACUCCUGUCUUAAAGGACGAUAAUGACGGUACUUUAGGAGGAAGCUCCGGCUAACUACGUGCCAGCCGCUGC
rnacentral:rRNA from 1 species